UGGUACUAUCGAUGAUUUGGGUUCUGGGUGACUAUCGUUUGUUUUUUCCAUCAUCGAUAUAUCGUGUCCAUAUUACACCAAAGACAAAGUAAAAGUGAAUUCUACUACAAAAUAGACCAUUUACAGCCAGAAAAUUGUGAAUCUGUACCAAAUCCCAUUUUUCCUACUCAAAAAACACCAAGUUAUGCCAAUUCCGAUCGUACUAUGACAGCUGGGGAGAUGCUGCGGUUACGGCAGCGGUGGAAUAAAAUGAAAAAUCCACCGACUCCCCAACCGGCUCUAAAAGAGGAAUUACCAGCGCCCACGGAGGCUACACAGGAUAUUUGUCAAUUAUCGGAGGAGAUACUUGAUUAUAUUUCUGGAACACCGCGAUUCAAAUAAAUAUAGUGCUAUAUAAUCUGACGGAUGAUAAUUAAUUAAGCUUCUAGUGUUAACUGAAUAAAAUAGAUUUUAAAAGUCUUUUAAUUCUUAUUUAUCAUCACAAUGAGACCAAUUUAAAUUAUUAAAAAUUUUAUUAUUAUUUAAAAUUUAAAAUGCUAUUUUUAAAAUGUUCUGUAUCUGUGGGAUUCAAGUCAAAAUGUGAGUAUUAUGAUUUAGAAUGAUGGAACAGUGAGGCUGUGUGACUGCAGCAAGCUAAAUGUGAACCAGGGCGUCAACAAGUCCCGGCAGGUGUACUCCGCCAAUACUCUAAUCUAUGCACUGGCUGCCUGCGGCCAAUCGCUGGCGUUGGGAGGGAAGGAUGGCAGUAUGCAGAUGAUGCGGAUUAACAGAAACUACACCAAGAUGACCUUGCAGGGGGCUCUUGAUCAGAACAUACACAAAGAUAAACCGGUGGUGAACAUGCUGGCCUACGACCAGGCCACUCAAAUUGCCACUCUAUAGGGUUGAAUUGUGGCCUGUGAUACGCGGAUUCAGCACAGUGACUGGCGGCUACAGAAUGAACUGAGGCGCGGCGUGAUCACUACCAUCUGUGCCGACCCCACUGGCUCGUGGCUGGCCACAGGAACAAGCGGUAGAAAGCACAUUUGCUGGAAUCUACGCUUCCUGCUACCCAUUGCCGAGAUCAAACACCCGGCAGACUCCUGGAUCCGUAAAAUGAUCAUGUCAUCCAACGGAGCCAUCGUAUCUCAUAUCCGCCUCGCAGUCCAAUAACGAGGUAUCCGUGUGGAUAACGAGGAACAUCGAAACCGAUCGGGGCGACACACCGUGCUGUGGGCCAGUCCAGCAGCUGCGGCAUCCUCAGUGGCGUAGUCGAAGGAAACACCCCCAUUCUCACUGGAAGAUCUGACCAGCGUAUCCGAUAUUGGGACGUGGCCCAAUCCGAAGAACUCUUCGUUUAACUAAUAUUCUAAUUCAUGUUCAAAGUUUUAAAGAAAUUUCUGAUCUUGGUCAAGAUUAUCUGAUAUUUGGU